rnacentral:rRNA from 1 species
GAUGAACGCUGGCGGCGUGCUUAACACAUGCAAGUCGAACGGUGAAGCAGAGCUUGCUCUGUGGUUCAGUGGCGAACGGGUGAGUAACACGUGAGCAACCUGCCCCUGACUCUGGGAUAAGCGCUGGAAACGGCGCCUAAUACUGGCUAUGAGCUGCGACCGCAUGGUCAGCUGUUGGAAAGAUUUUUCGGUCUGGGAUGGGCUCACGGCCUAUCAGCUUGUUGGUGAGGUAAUGGCUCACCAAGGCGUCGACGGGUAGCCGGCCUGAGAGGGUGACCGGCCACACUGGGACUGAGACACGGCCCAGACUCCUACGGGAGGCAGCAGUGGGGAAUAUUGCACAAUGGGCGAAAGCCUGAUGCAGCAACGCCGCGUGAGGGAUGACGGCCUUCGGGUUGUAAACCUCUUUUAGCAGGGAAGAAGCGAAAGUGACGGUACCUGCAGAAAAAGCGCCGGCUAACUACGUG